CGGCGGAAAUCUUUACAGGAUGCAUGUUCCCUGCAAAUUUGAUGAACCUAUCUGAAAUCCUUGCAAAGUUAUUGAGAGUACAGUAUUCAUCACACACAAACACUUGUUUUGGCUCUGUGACCUUCAAUAUUUGGUCAAGGUCACUCAUCAUCUAGCU